AUCAUUAAUUGGCAUCAAUUAAUGAAGAAAACUCCGGUGGUAAAAGAUGGGCAUGCGUCCUAUUAGUUAGUUGGUAAGGUAACGGCUUACCAAGACUCCGAUAGGUAGGGGUCCUGAGAGGGAGAUCCCCCACACUGGUACUGAGACACGGACCAGACUCCUACGGGAGGCAGCAGUGAGGAAUAUUGGACAAUGGAGGCAACUCUGAUCCAGCCAUGCCGCGUGCAGGAAGACGGCCCUACGGGUUGUAAACUGCUUUUAUACAGGAAGAACUAUAUCUACGUGUAGAUAUUUGACGGUACUGUACGAAUAAGGAUCGGC
rnacentral:rRNA from 1 species